rnacentral:tRNA from 1 species
GUGGCUAUGGUGAAAUGGUUAUCACAAGGGGUUGUGGUCCCCUAGUCGAGGGUUCAAUUCCCUCUAGCCACCCCA